UAUGAGUAUGUAAAAGGUCAUAUGUUUCCACAGUGUCUCUGCCAAACACAGGCAGAAGAAAGGAUCCUUUGAAUAAUGCUCACUUUCAAGUGCCCUAGUGUUUCAGAAGACUGCUUAUUUUGUUGCUCCUUUUCUUUUUUUCUUAUUUGUUUUUAAAGUUAAUGUAAAAACUGUAAUCUUAGAACUGCUGCUUCAUUUGUCCUUUCCUUGAAAAUACCUGCUUUCUUCUUUGAAGAGCCCUAAGUGUGGUCUUGGGAAUCUGGAGAGGUCCCAGUUGACUGGAAGCUGGCAAACAUUGUUCUAAUUUUCAAGAAGGUCAAGAAAGAAGACUCUGGUAAUUACAAGCCUGCACUUCAGUGCCUGCAUUGACAGAUUUUUGGAAAACUGGAUGACAGUCAUAUGAAUUCUUAAAAUAGUAGCUGAAGGAUGAGAAAAAAUAUAGAGCCCAAUCCUGCCAUGGAAACUGUGUGGGUGCAAGGCUAUUACAACUCGUCUCUGUCUGCAAGACACUAACACUGGAAGAAAGGAGAAAAGAAUCAAUUCACAGAAAGAAUUUCUUAUUCAUGAUAAAAUUUAGAAUGAUAGCCAGUUUUUGUAGGAACGUUAUGUUGGAAAUAUGGGAGAAUACCUUCAUAAGUGUUUCUGCGCAUACUGUUAUUGUAUGUACAGACUUAGCCCUCCAGGAGUUUCCAGUUUGAUUGCACUUCAUGCACUGUUUCAACUUUACAGCUAUCAUUUUAGUCAAGCAGAAAAAUCCUUGUAUUGAGUAUUUAACUAUUUAAUAUUACAAUAUUGAAAUAUCAUAAAAUAUUCCUAUAAUGAUUGUUUCAUCUGCUUUCUUACAGGGAAUUUAGCUGAUGACAAAUUUAUAGAUGCAGUUGUGUUGAAUUUAUUUCUAUUAUUUAAUAAACAUCUGCUGAUGGGUUUUGAUUUCACUUAUGAGUCUUUUACCUUUAAAGAGCUGAGAUCAUAUAUGGCUCCUGUCAUUUGCCAGUGAAAGGAGUGUGAAGAGGAUGGUGUUACUAAAGGCCAGAAAACAGAUUUCUGAGAGCCAUUACUUAUAUGCAUAUAAGGGCUACAGUUGUUGUAAUUCUGUAUGGAAUCAGACAUGGGGUUAAAAGCACUAUGGAACAUAGUUUUGAAUGCAGUGAACAAGAGUUGACAUCAGUGUUGCCAUAUUUUUGUUAAGUUUCUGUGAAAUAAUAGAAGCUGAAUUAUUUAGUUGUUUAUAUAUGAAAGGAAAGAUCUUUUGAUUCAGAACUGCUAGUUUUUCUCUUAGAGCUAAUCUAUAAAUGAAAACUAUUUUCUUGCAAUACAUUUUUG